rnacentral:tRNA from 1 species
GCCUGGCUGGCUCAGUUGGUAGUGCACGCGAGUCUUGAUCUCAGAGUCAUGAGUUCAAGCCUCAUGUUGGGUG